AGCGAACGCUGGCGGCAUGCCUAACACAUGCAAGUCGCACGGGGGGGCUUCGGCCUCCCAGUGGCGGACGGGUGAGGAACGCGUAGGGACCUGUCGAGGGGUGGGGGAUAACCGCGGGAAACUGCGGCUAAUACCGCAUGACGCCGCGGCGUGACAGCCGGGGCCAAAGGCGAAAGCCGCCCGCCGAGGGGCCUGCGUCCGAUUAGCUGGUUGGCGGGGUAGCGGCCCACCAAGGCGUCGAUCGGUAGCUGGUCUGAGAGAGUGAUCAGCCACACCGGGACUGAGACACAGCCCGGACUCCUACGGGAGGCAGCAGUGGGGAAUAUUGGACAAUGGGCGCAAGCCUGAUCCAGCAAUGCCGCGUGGGUGAAGAAGGUCUUCGGGUUGUAAAGCCCUUUCGGCGGGGACGAUGGUGACGGUACCCGCAGAAGAAGCCCCGGCUAACUUCGUG
rnacentral:rRNA from 1 species